GGUAGCUCAGUGGUAGAGUGCUUGCUUUACAUGCAUGAAGCUGUGGGUUCGAUUCCUCAGCACCA
rfam:Dipodomys ordii contig_65691, whole genome shotgun sequence.